GGCGGGCAGUUAAGCGCCGAGCGGUGCUUGCCACUGCGCUCCCCUCCGUUUGCACCCACGCCCGCUCUAUUCCGGUUGAGACUACAUGUCUCCGAGGACCCAGCUCCCUUUUCCGUUGACUUGGUGGUCGCUUUCCAUGUGUUGCUGAGAGAUGGAUAUUAAAAUCAAGGCUGGGACUACAGUGAGGCUGAAGUCACUAAAGUGCUUGGAGUGCAGAACUGAAAGAAGUACUAACUAUUAGGGUUGGGGUACUGGUUCCAGGACACCUUGUGGAUACCAAAACCUGCAGAUGCUCAAGUUUGUUACAUAAAAUGGUGCAGUAUUUGCAUAUAACCUAUGCACAUUCUUCUGUACACUUUAAAUCAUCUCUAGAUUUUUUAAUAAAAUAUAAAUGCUGUGUAAAUAAUUGUCAUACUGUAUUUUAAACUUUGUAUUAUAUUUUACUAUCAUUGUUUUUUCCUGAAUAUUUGUGCAUUGCCAUUGGUUGAAUCUGCAUAUAUGCAGAGCUCAUUAUAUAUACUACUGAAUUUGACUACAAUGCUAUCAAUUACUGAAAUAUAAUUGUAGAUUUCCAAUUAUGCUUGUGGAUCUAUUUCUUUUGUUCUGUUAGUAUCUGCUUCAUGAAAUUUAACACUCUCAUUAUAGGUUCAUACCAGCAUACAUAUUCCUGAUGAACACAUAGAGUCAUGUGCCACAUAACAACAUUUUAGCCAAUGAUGGACACAUAUACAAUGGUGGUCCCAUAAGAUUACAAUGGAGCUAAAAAAUUCCUGUCACUUAUAGACAUUGUCAUGCAACAUAUCACUCACGUGUUUGUGGUGAUGCUGGUGUAAACCUACUGUGUUUCCAGUUGUAUAAAAGUAUAGCACAUACAAUGUGUAGUACAUAAUAGGUAAUAAUAAAUGAUUACAUUACUAGUUUAUAUAUUUAUUAUACUAUUUGUAUUAUUAUUUUAGAGUAUACUCCUACUUAUUAAAAAAAAAGGGUAAUGGUAAAACAGCCUCAGGCAAAUCCUUCAGGAAGCAUUGUUUUCAUGGGAGAUGAUCACUCCGUGCAUAUUACUGACCCUGAAGACGUUUCAGUGGGACAAGAUGUGGAGGUAAAACACAGUGAUAUGGAUACUGUUGACCCUAUGUAGGCCCAGGCUAAUGUGUGUGUGUCCUUGUUUUUAACAAAAAUGUUUAAAAAUAAAGCAUUUUUAAAAUAAAAAGUUUUUAAAUAGAAAAAAGCCUAUAGAAUAAGGACAUUAAUAUUUUUGUGUUGCUAUGUAAUGUGUUUGAAGUAUUAUUCAAGUAAUAAAGAUAAAAAAUAGCAAGUUUAUAAUGUAAAAAUAUAGAAGCUAAGGUUAACUUUUUAUUGAAUAAAGAAAACUUUAAAAAAUAAAUCUAGUAAAGCCUAAGUACUGCUUGUAAAGUCUACAGUAGUGGACAGCAAUGUCCUAUUCCUUAGCUUUCUCACAGCUCACUCACUGACUCACCCAGAGCUUCAGUCCUGCAAGCUCCAUUCAUGGCAAGUAUCUUACACAGGUGUGCCAAUUUAAAAUAUUUUAGUCAGUAUUUUUACUGUACCUUUUCUAUAUUUAGAUACAGAAAUACCACUGUUUUAUAAAUGCCUAGAGCAUUCAAUACAGUAAUACGCUACGCAGGUUUGUAGCCUACGAGCAAUGGACUAUAUACCAUAUAACCCAGGUAUGUAGUAGGCUACCCCACUUCUGUUUGUGUCAGUGCACUCUGUGAUGCUUGCAUGAUGCAAUCACCUAAUGACACAUUUUUCAGAAUGCGUCCCUGUAGUUAAGUGACAAAUGUAUAUGCAAAUUCCCAAUCACCUGCUCUUUUAUGAUUGUUACCUCUUUAUCUCCUGCUAUAUACAUUGUUUUGAAGUCUAUUAUCAGAUAUUACUAUUGCCACAUCAACUUUGUUAUACUUAAUGUACAUCUUUUUCUUGACCAAUUUUAAGUAAAACUACACAUGAAAUCUCACAGACAUUAGGGUAAACUAAAAGAGAAAUGUGGAAUUCUGGAACUGACAAUUACACAGCUGACUGGAAAGGACACCAGCAAACUUUCCUGUGGUGCUGGUGUUGUAAACCAAAAAUAAAAUCCUAAGCAUCCCCCAGGCCAUCUGAAUGGACCCCUCCCCUUGGCCAGGGCAUUCCUAACCUGAAAAACUAGUAAAGCCAUGUUGGAAAGGCGGAGGUGGGUGGGUCGGACAUGCCUUAUUAUAGCCUCCUUCAUUUUGGAAUUACUGAUGGAAAAGACCCCAAAUCUGAAAAGAAACACAAUCUACUCUCUGUGAAGCCUGCUAUCUGGAGGCUUCACAUACAAGACAAAAUCUUGGUCUCCACAACGCACUAUCAACCCAGACAUUCCUAAGUCUUCAGUCAGUAACUCUUUCAAUCUAUUGCCAAUCAAAUAAUCUUUGAAUCUACCUAUGACCUGGAAGGCCACCCACCUUUCAGUUUCCCGCCUUUCCAGAGGGGAUCAAUGUACAUUUUGCAUGUAUUUAAUUGGUGUUCCAUGUUUCCCUAAAAGGUAUAAAACCACAUAUAUAUCACAACCACCUUGCGCACAGGUUCUCAAGAUCUCCUGAGGGCUGUGGCACCGGCCACUGGUCACUCAUAUUUAGCUCAGAAUAAAUCUUUUCAAAUAUUUUAGAGUUUGAGUCUUUUCGUCAACCGUGUAAAUUAACACGCACUAGGGCGGGGACACACACACACACAGUGAGUGCCCUCUACCUGCCAGAUUCCAUUCUGGGGCUUUCUUAUGGUACAAAACGGACAAAAACUCCCAGUCACCCUCAGGUUCACGACCACGGAUCACAGAGUGGAGCAAAACCUUGCCCGACCCAGGAUCCGAGUUCUCAGCUCGACCCUCCCCCAGCCGAAAGCCGGUACCCGCUUCAGGCCUUCCCAACCCUGCCCUCUGAUUCCUUCUUCGGCCUCCCUCAGCCUGGAGUCCGGGUUUUCUCCCUGGCUGAGCACCUGGGUCGGCGACUCCCUUUACCCUCCCCGGUCCGGGCUUCUGGUUCCAGAGGUGAAGCGGCGUCCACCCAAACUUCCGCGGCUCCCCCACGGCCAGCCUCGGCCCAGCUUCCUGUUCCCCAUUCUGCCCUCCCCAGCCCGGGUUCCCGAUUACUUCCUAGGCUUCACCUUGCAGUCGGGGACCACCAGCUGCCUCUCCCGCGCCUGGAAGACGCACAGCGGCAGCCUCCGCCAAAGACAAAGGUCUGCGCACUCGGAAACGACAGAGGUCUGCGGCGUGGUGCGGCCCCUGCGACCAGCCGGCUCCGCUUGCGCAUCAGACCGCUUUCGUUGCUGGACUACGUUUCCCACAGGCUCCAGGGCUGCGGAUGAACUUCGACCUUUGAUUCCCUUUCCGGUGGUGUCGUGGUUUUUGAGUUAAGCCUGGUGAGUCGAGGUGACCUGCGCCGGGCUGCGGGAGUAACUCGCGGCGAAGUGGCCCCGUGCAGCCGGGCGAGGUCGGUCCACGUGGAGCCGGGAGCCUCAGGCCUCUGUACACGGAGCUGCGGACGAUGGUUGUCGGUGCUAUUUGUUACGGCGUCAUUGUGGGUUCUGCAAGUGAAGGCCCCCUGAAGUGGAAGACAGCAUUGGUACUUAUUUAUAAUGGCCAACUCAAGGCCUGAAGAUUAGGAAGUCCAAAAUCAAGGGACUGGCAGGUUUGGUUGAAUGGUGAGAGCUGCUCUUUGCUUUCCAAGAUGCUACCUUGAUGACACGUCAUCUGUAGGGGAGGAUUGCUUUAUCCUCACAUGGCAAAAGGCCGCAUGAUGCCUUUUUAUAAGGGCCUUAAUCCCACUCCUGAGGGGAGGAGCCCUCUGAUCUGACCACCACCUAAAGGACCUGCCUCCUAAUACUAUCAGAUUAGUAAUACAUGAGUUUGGGAAGGGAUAUAUUUAAAUCAUAGCAAGAGCAUAUACCUGCAUCUUGUUUUUUAUGCAUUCUGACUCUCUGCCUUUUGAUUGUUUAAUCUAUUCACAUUUAAUGUUAUUAUUGAUACAGUUGGAUUUACAGCUGUCAUUCCACCUUUUUUCAGUGUAUGUCAAGUCCUUUUUUCUUCCUCUGUUCCUUUACUGCUUUCUUUUGCAUCAAAUGAGUAUUUUCUAAUGUGUAUUUAAUUUCUUUAAUGAUUUUUUUCACUAUAUUUUGGGUUAUUUCUUUAGCAGUUGCUCUAGGUCUUAACACAUCUGUAUAUAUCUUAUCAGAAACAGCUUCUGAUUUAUAUUAGCUUAAUUCAAGUGAGAUAUAGAAGUGUUACUCUUAUAUAACUAUUUCAUCUCUUACAGUAAUAUUGGUUGUCACAUAACAUCUACAGAUGUUUCAAACUCAACCAAUUGUUACAAUUUUUAUGUUACAUAAAUCUUUUUUUAACUACAAGAAGAAAGGAGAAUCUUUAUACAUUUAUAACUUUUAUUUUAGCCAUCUGAUUUAUCACUUUUGGUUCUUAUUUGGUCCAGAUGGAUUUGAGUUACCAUCUGGAUUCAUUUCCUUAGCCCAAUACAACUUUGCUUUCCCCUGCCUUCUUUGUGUUAUUAUUAGCAAAUAUAUUACAUUUCUGUAUGCUAUGGGCCCAAUAAUACAUAAUAUACAUAGUUUCAUAAAAUUUGUGUAUCAGUUAAGAGAAGAGAUAUGUAUGUAUACUGCCUUUUAUAAUUACAUAAUUGCCUUCUCUUUGUUUUGCAUAUGGAUUUGUAUUACUG